GGCGACCUAGGCCGCGGGACCCGGACGGAGGUAGACGCCAGGGCAGCGCGUCCGGGAGCGGUGUCCGCGCCCGCCGCCGCCAUGCCGGACAGCUGGGACAAGGAUGUGUACCCUGAGCCCCCGCGCCGCACGCCGGUGCAGCCCAAUCUCAUCGUCUACAUGAUGAAAGCGUUCGACCUCAUCGUGGACCGACCCGUGACCCUCGUGAGAGAAUUUAUAGAGCGGCAGCACGCAAAGAACAGGUAUUACUACUACCACCGGCAGUACCGCCGCGUGCCGGACAUCACUGAGUGCAAAGAGGAGGACAUCAUGUGCAUGUAUGAAGCCGAAAUGCAGUGGAGGAGGGACUAGUACGUGAGCCAUGCUGGGAGUGUGGAGAUCUGCACCAUGUGCUGCUGGGACACCAGUCCCUGGGAUGCCACAGGGUGGCAUGCCCAGAUUUUAGGGGUGACAUGGGAGGAGCCAGACCCCAGGGCUCUUGCUUUCAAUUGUUCUCACAGGGUACAGGAAAAGGAUUCCUUGUGAUUAGCCUCUCUUGCUCCUUUUCUCCACCAGCAAAGUCGACCAAGAAAUUAUCAACAUUAUGCAGGAUCGGCUCAAAGCCUGUCAGCAGAGGGAAGGACAGAACUACCAGCAGAACUGUAUCAAGGAAGUGGAGCAGUUCACCCAGGUGGCCAAGGCCUACCAGGACCGCUGUGCGUGCCCCACCCACCCCCAACCCCCCACCAUCCUCCUGAGGCCUGGGGGCCAGAACCAUUGCGAAUCUUCCCUCCCCUCCCUUGUGCUCACUUGACUUUGCCCCCUUUGCAUGUAGCAGAGGCCUCGGUUCCCAGCUUGUUUCCAUUGCUUCCCCAGAUCAGGACCUGGGGGCCUACAGUUCUGCCAGGAAGUGCCUGGCCAAACAGAGGCAGAGGAUGCUGCAAGAGAGAAAAGCUGCAAAAGAGGCCGCCGCUGCCAC
rnacentral:sRNA from 1 species